CGUAGGGUGCAAGCGUUAAUCGGAAUUACUGGGCGUAAAGCGUGCGCAGGCGGUUUUGUAAGUCUGUCGUGAAAUCCCCGGGCUCAACCUGGGAAUUGCGAUGGAGACUGCAAGGCUAGAAUCUGGCAGAGGGGGGUAGAAUUCCACGUGUAGCAGUGAAAUGCGUAGAGAUGUGGAGGAACACCGAUGGCGAAGGCAGCCCCCUGGGUCAAGAUUGACGCUCAUGCACGAAAAGCGUGGGGAGCAAAACAGGAUU
rnacentral:rRNA from 1 species